AUUGAACGCUGGCGGCAGGCCUAACACAUGCAAGUCGAGCGGAUGAAGGGAGCUUGCUCCUGGAUUCAGCGGCGGACGGGUGAGUAAUGCCUAGGAAUCUGCCUGGUAGUGGGGGAUAACGUCCGGAAACGGGCGCUAAUACCGCAUACGUCCUGAGGGAGAAAGUGGGGGAUCUUCGGACCUCACGCUAUCAGAUGAGCCUAGGUCGGACUAGCUAGUUGGUGGGGUAAAGGCCUACCAAGGCGACGAUCCGUAACUGGUCUGAGAGGAUGAUCAGUCACACUGGAACUGGGACACGGUCCCGACUCCUACGGGAAGCCACAGUGGGGAAUAUUGGACAACAGGCGAAAGCCUGAUCCAGCCAUGCCGCGUGUGUGAAGAAGGUCUUCGGAUUUUAAAGCACUUUAAGUUGGGAGGAAGGGCAGUAAGUUAAUACCUUGCUGUUUUGACGUUACCAACAGAAUAAGCACCGGCUAACUUCGUG
rnacentral:rRNA from 1 species